UACGUAGGUGGCGAGCGUUAUCCGGAUUUAUUGGGUUUAAAGGGUGCGCAGGCGGCACGGCAAGCCGGCGGUCAAAUCGCGGGGCUCAACCCCGCCCAGCCGUCGGAACUGCCGGGCUAGAGUGGGCGAGAAGUGCGCGGAAUGCGUGGUGUAGCGGUGAAAUGCAUAGAUAUCACGCAGAACUCCGAUUGCGAAGGCAGCGCACCGGCGCCCUACUGACGCUCAGGCACGAAAGCGUGGGUAUCGAACAGG
rnacentral:rRNA from 1 species